GUCAAUAUAUAAAUGGUGAAAAACAUUGAGUGAUUUGCUGCAGUUUCAACCCAUUUCACUUAGUUAAUCUCGAGCUUUUCUGAGAUGCUGAACAAACUUCUGAUUCUAGUCGCAAUCAUGGCGAUUUUCUGUUUGUACGAACUUGAUGCCUUCCCUUGGCCCGACCCAGGAAAGUACUGCUCUCACACCAAUUGGUACUACAUGCAGCUCUUCUGCAAUUACACCCAAAUUGACAUGUGAAAAGUAAAAAUCAAAUAUUCAUUGGUGCAUUUGUAAAAUAAAAGAUCAAAUUGAAUUUAUUGUUAACACCUAAUUGCAAUUCUUUAGAUAUAUUUGGAGUGUUUCAGUUGACUUUCCAAACUGACUGUGCCAAUUGAGGAGAACUCAGGACUAUUUAUACGGAUAGUGGUUCUAGUUGCUUCCUAAAAUCGUGAUGGAAAGAAAAAUUACAGCCUGACGACAGUUUUCCCAAUUCUUGUAUCCAACUGAAUUUAUCAGAAAAUUUCUGGUAUCCAAAAGAACAUGGGAAAUUUGUUAGAUUUCUCUCAGCAACUGAAUUUACUUCUUAAUCAUGAAGUUCUCUUGUUUCCACCUCACGGUUUUUUCUAAUCAAUUUUCGGGGAAAAUUGUCGUCAAGGUUAGCAUUUGUCUCUCAGUCACGAUUUUAGGACAGCAGAUUGGAAAUUUUCCCGUAUAAAUACUCGGGAGUUUUCCUCAAUUGGCAUAGUCAGUUUGAGAAGUCAACUGAAGCACUCCAAAUCAAUCCAAAAUGAUGAAGUUCCUGUUCUUCGCCCUCCUCGUCGUCCUGGCCGUUGCCACCGCCUUCGCUGCUCCUGAGCCAGCUCCUGCUCCUCUGCCAGCUCCCCAGGGUGGAUAUUACCCCUAUGGAUACUAUUCAUACUAUCCAUACUAUGGAUACUACUAAACCUGGAACCAAAGACCCAACGAAUAAGAUGAAAUAUUCGACCACUUUUGAAUGAAAACUUUUAAAAUUGUUCAAAUAUCAGGAAAUGAAUAAACAGAUAAAGCAUUAA